AGUAUACACCUGCGAACAAGUAAGUCAGUGAUAUCAAUGCCUAAGAAUUACUUUUUUUGCCAUUCUAAUCGUUACAUCAGAGAGCAAUGGAUAUAGAAGAAAUAUGUAAACAGUUGUCCCUAGAAGAAAUAUGCAACAACUUAUUCAGUAGAGAGCAAGGGACAUAUAAGAAAUCUCUAGGCAGCUUCACUUAGAUGCAUCAUCUUUUGCUAGGAGUCAGCUUGAAGAACGACCUUCUCAGGAGACUGCAACUGACAUGCUGGAUGGGGAAUAACCAAAUUUGUGGACAAAGACAAAGAGUUCAUCACAAGGGGUGGUGUUUAGGAUAUAUACACAAAAGAGGAAACUUUUUUUGUACAGAACCAAAUUAUAUGAUGUAAUUGACCACUAUUUCUAAGAAAU